AUUAACGCUGGCAGAGUGCAUAACACAUGCAAGUCGAGCGAGGUGGCGGCUUAUCGCGCCUAGCGGCAGACGAGUGAGUAACACGUAAACAAUCUACCCUUGAAUGGCGAAUAACCAAUCGAAAGACUGGCUAAUGCGCCGUACUCUCCCUUGAAGGCAUCUUUGAGGGAGGAGAGAUCCGCAAGGAUCGUUCUUGGAGGAGUUUGCGGCCCAUCAGCUAGUUGGCGGUGUAAUAGACCACCAAGGCUACGACGGGUACCCGGCCUGAAAGGGCGGACGGGCACGAUGGCACUGAGACACGGGCCAUACUCCUACGGGAGGCAGCAGUGGGGAAUUUUGGACAAUGGGCGAAAGCCUGAUCCAGCAACUCUGCGUGAGGGACGAAGGUCUUCGGAUCGUAAACCUCUUUUACAUGGGAAGAAUACCCGCAAGGGUUCGACGGUACCAUGUGAAUAAGCCACGGCUAACUAUGU
rnacentral:rRNA from 1 species